rnacentral:lncRNA from 1 species
AAACAGCUCUUUAUCUAUCUUUUCUAAGUGCACUACCAACAACAACAACAAAAGGCUUAAUUUUACACAGAUCUCUACAAACGUAAUGAAUUAUAAAUAUAUCUUUACAAAGUUCAACUUUCAUAUAUUGUUCGUGCAAAAGUCCUAAUGUUUUGAAAUAUAUUCCUGCUGUUAGAAUCUGUUAGAAAAAUUUAGCUGACCAUAUCUUAAAUACUUAACCUUGGCUAGUUUUUAAUAUUUUUAUCUCUUUUAUAUUAUAUUGUUAUGGCUUUUGAAAAUACAUAUUUGUGAUGAAAAAAAUUAGAAAUAUAAACAGUUCUCUAACCGUUCUUUAAGAUAACAAUUCAAAGGAACAUAUUUGAAAAUAUUAUAACUUUUGUAGGAAUAAUAGAUGAAAGUUAAAUUUUAUAAGAAUAUACUUAUCAUUCACUAUGUUUGUAGAGAUUUGUAUGAAAU